AUUAAUUCGAUGCAACGCGAAAAACCUUACCUACCCUUGACAUGUCAGGAACUGGGCCGAGAGGUUUGGGUGCCCGCAAGGGAGCCUGAACACAGGUGCUGCAUGGCUGUCGUCAGCUCGUGUCGUGAGAUGUUGGGUUAAGUCCCGCAACGAGCGCAACCCUUGUCCUUAGUUGCCACCCGCAAGGGGGCACUCUAGGGAGACUGCCGGUGACAAACCGGAGGAAGGUGGGGAUGACGUCAAGUCCUCAUGGCCCUUAUGGGUAGGGCUUCACACGUCAUACAAUGGUCGGUACAGAGGGCUGCCAACCCGCAAGGGGGAGCCAAUCCCACAAAGCCGAUCGUAGUCCGGAUUGCAGUCUGCAACUCGACUGCAUGAAGUCGGAAUCGCUAGUAAUCGCGGAUCAGCAUGCCG
rnacentral:rRNA from 1 species